rnacentral:rRNA from 1 species
AUUGAACGCUGGCGGCAUGCCUUACACAUGCAAGUCGAACGGCAGCAUGAUCUAGCUUGCUAGAUUGAUGGCGAGUGGCGAACGGGUGAGUAAUACAUCGGAACGUGCCCUGUAGUGGGGGAUAACUAGUCGAACGAUUAGCUAAUACCGCAUACGACCUGAGGUUGAAAGUGGGGGACCGCCAGGCCUCCUGCUAUAGUAGCGGCCGAUGUCUGAUUAGCUAGUUGGUGAGGUAAAGGCUCACCAAGGCGACGAUCAGUAGCUGGUCUGAGAGGACGAUCAGCCACACUGGGACUGAGACACGGACCAGACGCCUACGGGAGGCAGCAGUGGGGAAUUUUGGAAAAUGGGGGCAACCCUGAUCCAGCAAUGCCGCGUGUGUGAAGAAGGCCUUCGGGUUGUAAAGCACUUUUGUCCGGAAAGAAAUCGCACUUACUAAUAUUAGGUGUGGAUGACGGUACCGGAAGAAUAAGGACCGGCUAACUACGUGCCAGCCGCCGCCGUAACAC